rnacentral:rRNA from 1 species
GUAGGUCCCGAGCGUUGUCCGGAUUUAUUGGGCGUAAAGCGAGCGCGGGCGGUUAGAUAAGUCUGAAGUUAAAGGCUGUGGCUUAACCAUAGUACGCUUUGGAAACUGUUUAACUUGAGUGCAAGAGGGGAGAGUGGAAUUCCAUGUGUAGCGGUGAAAUGCGUAGAUAUAUGGAGGAACACCGGUGGCGAAAGCGGCUCUCUGGCUUGUAACUGACGCUGAGGCUCGAAAGCGUGGGGAGCAAACAGGAUUAGAUACCCUGGUAGUCCACGCCGUAAACGAUGAGUGCUAGGUGUUAGACCCUUUCCGGGGUUUAGUGCCGCAGCUAACGCGUUAAGCACUCCGCCUGGGGAGU